rnacentral:rRNA from 1 species
GCUUACGGCCAUACCACCCUGAGCACGCCCGAUCUCGUCUGAUCUCGGAAGCUAAGCAGUGUCAGGCCUGGUUAGUACUUGGAUGGGAGACCGCCUGGGAAUACCAGGUGCUGUAAGCU